ensembl:snoRNA SNORA73 Small nucleolar RNA SNORA73 family
CCAACAUGGAUACCCUGGAAGUCACUCUCCCCAGGCUCUGUCUAAAUGGCAUAGGGGAGCAUAGGGUCCCAUCCCAGGAUGUACAGUCCUUUGCCACAAGUUAGAGAUGAAGCUGGGUCUGGUGUCUGUGCCUGAAUAUUCCUACAGCUUCUGAGUCUUGUGGACAAUGACAGAGGAGACAAACCACGCAGGAAAUUUGU